AGUGAACGCUGGCGGUAGGCCUAACACAUGCCAGUCGAACGGCAGCACAGUAAGAGCUUGCUCUUACGGGUGGCGAGUGGCGGACGGGUGAGGAAUACAUCGGAAUCUACUUUUUCGUGGGGGAUAACGUAGGGAAACUUACGCUAAUACCGCAUCCGACCUACGGUUGAAAGAAGGGGAUCUUCGGACCUUGCGCGAUUGAAUGAGCCGAUGUCGGAUUAGCUAGUUGGCGGGGUAAAGGCCCACCAAGGCGACGAUCCGUAGCUGGUCUGAGAGGAUGAUCAGCCACACUGGAACUGAGACACGGUCCAGACUCCUACGGGAGGCAGCAGUGGGGAAUAUUGGACAAUGGGCGCAAGCCUGAUCCAGCCAUACCGCGUGGGUGAAGAAGGCCUUCGGGUUGUAAAGCCCUUUUGUUGGGAAAGAAAAGCAGCAGGUUAAUACCCCGCUGUUCUGACGGUACCCAAAGAAUAAGCACCGGCUAACUUCGUG
rnacentral:rRNA from 1 species